CUCAGCGCCAACCCAUUUUUGGAUGCUGUGAGUUACCUGCAUUUUCCUUCUGAGAGCUGACAGACACGUAACUGAGUGGUGGGUUAAUCAGGCCGCUGACUGGCUAGCCGGGAUUUCAGCAGAGGAAGAUGAAGAGUCCGCCUGGAUUCCAACUGAAGAUUCCUACCAGCAAGUGGAGGGAAGAUGAUGCUUUUGACUCGCAGACUGUACAGAUUUGGUGGUCAAAGACUCAGACUCAGGUGAAUUCAACCUAAACUUUUGGGAACUUUGAGUUUCCUCUCACUGUCUUUCUGUGGAGGCUGAGCUGUUGAAUUUGUUUUCUUUAUUUCUGUUUAUGCAUAACUGUGAAGACAGUGUAUGUGGAUUAUAAAGUUGCCAUGUUAUGUUGUAGAAAUUAAGUUAUUAUUAUUCACUAUGUUUCUUUAUCAUAAGAAUUAUAAUGUUGGUAC